ACGUAUGUCCCGAGCGUUAUCCGGAUUUAUUGGGCGUAAAGCGAGCGCAGACGGUUGAUUAAGUCUGAUGUGAAAGCCCGGAGCUCAACUCCGGAAUGGCAUUGGAAACUGGUUAACUUGAGUGUUGUAGAGGUAAGUGGAACUCCAUGUGUAGCGGUGGAAUGCGUAGAUAUAUGGAAGAACACCAGUGGCGAAGGCGGCUUACUGGACAACAACUGACGUUGAGGCUCGAAAGUGUGGGUAGCAAACAGGAUUAGAUACCCUGGUAGUCCACACCGUAAACGAUGAAUACUAGGUGUUAGGAGGUUUCCGCCUCUUAGUGCCGAAGCUAACGCAUUAAGUAUUCCGCCUGGGGAGUACGACCGCAAGGUUG
rnacentral:rRNA from 1 species